UGUAUUUUGACUAACUACUUCUGCAGAGCAAUUCCUUCUUUAGCAGAGACUGCUCUGUGUCCUCCUCUUUCUUCACAAUCCUGUGACAGCCCAACAGAGCCUGGAGCCCCCCCGUGCUGUGCAAGGGAUGAACACACGGUCUGUGGAACGGCUGCCUCGGGCUGUCCCGAUACCUGCGGGACUGCAGGUAAAUCACUGCUGCCAUCAGGGAACUCCCAGCCAACCUCGCUGCGUCUCGUCUCAUGCAUAUCUGUGUGCUUGACCUGGUCCCCAGCCAGGGAUCAUUCUCCAGCUGGGAAUU